GAAGACGGCCAUAGUAGUGGUGUUAUACCCAAACCCAUUCCGAACUUGGAAGUCAAGCCUGCUACGCCAUCUGUUUUAGUGUCCGACAAGAUGCGAAUCAGUGGUGCCGUCUCGC
rnacentral:rRNA from 1 species